AACGCAAAUUGCACUCCCUGGCAUUCCGGGGAGUAUGCCUGUUUGAGGGUCGGUUUAAAUUAAAUCGGUGCGUUGCUUUUUUGGUGACGCGUCGGAGUUGGGUUAUCUUAGCUUUUUUUGGCUUAAGAGACCUGAAAUUGACUCUUUUUUGCGCAUUCUGGACGUGUGAAUCUUAUGUCUCGUUAUGCUCAAGAUCAUUUUUCAUUAGGAGCGGUCACAGUGUGUGAUGUCGUGCCAUGAAUCUCGUUUUUCGACCUCAAAUCAGGUAGGGAUACCCGCUGAACUUAA
rnacentral:misc_RNA from 1 species